CAGUGAUAUACAUAGCUGGGAGAAGGAACCUAGAUUAAACAAAAUAUAGAGAAUCAAAAAUAUAGAGAAUCUUUUAGCUGUAAAAUUAUUUAAAUUCAAGAUUUUAUUCAUCCUCAAAAUGUUUGUGUCCUUUGACAUAUUGUCACAGUUUUAUGAUUUUUGGUUAUCAGUAUUCCACAUCACAACAUCAUGCAGUGUACUGGGAGUUAAAGAGCAAAUGCUCCGGGUACCUGUCUGGAAGAGAAGAAGAACUACGUUCCCCAAGAGGCUUUUUGAGUACUGUUAUCAUUCCUGCUCAAGGGAACAGAUAUAAGGGCGCAGGUCAUCUGACUCGGCCCUCUUCUCGUCUCGCCGUGUUCCCUGUCGGAUCGACUCGCUACUGCUGCGCCCGACUGCACGCAAGGCUUCAGUAUUAGCGUGGCAGCAGAGGGGCAGUCUGACAAAAAGGGACCUGACAUGGAAAAGCACAUGAAGCAGUGUGUCACUGAGUUCACACACAUGGAAAAGAUUGCAUCCGUGGACAUUCGUCAAAGCUUGCUGAUGGUUUCUGGAGAAAAACAGUGGAUGUGAGCAAAGUGGUGGUAGUUGAUGUGUUUCAGCAGCAGUGACAGCAACAUGAAAGACAAGCCAUGUUCUAGAUGGCUAUGCAUAUCUGUCACACCAGAAAACGUA
ensembl:lncRNA